GUAAACGGAAGUGAACAGUGACCAUUAACAAUUUCCACAUUUGCGUUUUUAUUUUGAAGUUUAUUGACACCAUGGAAAUCAAAAUAUGACAAAUUUAACCGCACAUCAUCACAUACUUCGCCCAUAUAGCCUUUAAUUCUCGUUGGAUAUAGGACUUAGUUGAUAGAUGUUAUCUACCUAGCUGCUAACAAUGGCUAACUGUUUGGUUUUUCACACUCAAAUAGCCUCCAUUAUGGAGGUGCUUGCGAAUGCAGCCGUGGCAGACAUUUGUAAACUCGUAGACGACGACUAUGCAGUGUUUCGUUUGGAAAUUUCUCAAAGCCAGAAAGAAAACAAGACAUUGCGGAGGAAACUGCAGCUGCUGGAACUGAAGGUGGCACGGGAGCGCGUCCCCGCCAGUCAUCCCAGUAGUGUCAAGAUCCUCGACCGAAGCAUAGCAAGAGGACAUCUCACUGGAGGCCACAGGAGGGUUGUGAAGCCAGCAGGACACAAUACAUGGAGAGAUGACCAACCAAUCACUGUUGAUGAGAGUGGAACCUCAACCCAGCACGUCAUCAUGAUAGAGUCUGCAGAUGCAGAAGCUUCAGGUCCUGGGGUUAAGCAGGAGAGGUCUGAAGGAGAGGAUGACCCACAGCACAGUAGAGACAUCCAGACUGGAGCGCCUCCUGUAGCCACGGAGGACCCCACCACUGCCCCAGCACAGCCCAGGAGCCGACACAGCAUCACGGAGGUCAGUGGAAAGCCGAACACCGUCCUCAAGUCAGAGACCGAUACAAAGACUUUAACGGUGCUGGAGCGACUGGGCUGUACUCCUGCUCCCCGCUCAGAGUAUUUACUUCGCGGUAACCUGAGCCCGAGGACGGUUCUGUCCCAUCGGGACUCAGGUGACACGCUACAGACUGGCAAUGAUCUGUCCUGUUCAUAUGCUACAGAGACAGAGAUGAUACCUGGUGACAUGCCUGUGGGCUUUGAUACACAGACUAAUUCAAUGAGAGGGGACUGGAACCGGUACAGUAGUAGUGUAUACUCUGAAGGGUGCCAAGAUAAGAAAGGGGCGGGUCUGGUCGAAGAUGAGGUGACUGUGAAAGUGGAGGGUGACACUCCUCUGAUAUGGAAUCCAGACGAAACUCACUUAGGAGAACAACACUCGCAGGGCAACAACAUUGACUUCUUAGAUUACAGGAAAAGCUUAGAGACAAAUCUAAAUGUCGCGACCCACUCCCCUUUACACGUGUUCAGGGAAUGCGACCCAGUGUCCAUGUCGAUGGGGCCUUCUGAUUCACACGGCCACGUCCUUUUUGAUCAGGUAUUGAACUCAAACGACAGGGUUAGAGCCCAGGUACAGGGAGGGGGAGCAACAUCAGGCAAUAGUAAAGACAAACCGUUCCUCUGCAUGUUCUGUAACAAAGGCUUCAGCUGCCUCCAGAAGGUGGAGAUUCACCAGAGGGUCCACACAGGGGAGAAACCCUUCAACUGUACCCAGUGUCAUAUGCGCUUCGCUGAGGCUGGCAACCUGAAGAGACACCAGAGGGUCCACACAGGGGAGAAACCGUUCGUCUGCCACCUUUGCCAGGCCAGUUUCUCCCACUCGUUCAACCUGAAAAGGCAUCAGAGGGUCCACACAGGGGAGAACUCUACAGCGGCCCCCAGUGUGAGAAGAGAUUCUCCCACCAGCACCAGCAGAAAAUGCACCUGAAGGUCCACACGGGGGAAAGAGUUUCUCGGAGAGGAGCUACCUCAGGAUACACCUGCAGAACAACCACUCAACUGGAUAGCUGCUGACAUUUAGAUCAAACCCUGCAUGAAAGACAAAGUUGAAUUUUCAUUGGUGUCAGCAGAAAAUAUCCACAGAUGCAUCUGGAAUAACGAGAGUGACAGAUUUCAAUAUUUCUGGGUAGAAUAUUGCAUCCAGACAUUGUGUGAUAUAUAUGCGUGGGGAGAACAAGUAUUUGAUACACUGCCGAUGUUGCAAGUUUUCCUACUUACAAAGCAUGUAGAGGUCUGUCAUUUUUAUCAUAUCAUCACUUCAACUGUGAGAGGCGGAAUCUAAAAUCAAAAACCCAGAAAAUCACAUUGUAUGAUUUUUAAGUAAUGAAUUUGCAUUUUAUUGUAUCAAAUACUUAUGUCAUGCAUCAGAAAAGCAGAACUUAAUAUCUGGUACAGAAACCUUUGUUUGCAAUUACAGAGAUCAUACAUUUCCUGUAGUUCUUGACCAGGUUUGCACACACUGCAGCAGGGAUUUUGUCCCACUCCUCCAUACAGACCUUCUCCAGAUCCUUCAGGUUUUGGGGCUGUCGCUGGGCAAUACGGACUUUCAGCUCCCUCCAAAGAUUUUCUAUUGGGUUCAGGUCUGGAGACUGGCUGGGCCACUCCAGGACCUUGAGAUGCUUCUUACGGAGCCACUCCUUAGUUGCCCUGGCUGUAUGUUUUGGGUCGUUGUCAUGCUGGAUUACCCAGCCACGACCCAUCUUCAAUGCUUCACGGUUGGGAUGGUGUUCUUGGUGUUGUACUCAUCCUUCUUCUUCCUCCAAACACGGCGAGUGGAGGUUAGACCAAAAAGCUCUAUUUUUGUCUCAUCAGACAACAUGGCCUUCUCCCAUUCCUCCUCUGGAUCAUCCAGAGGGUCAUUGGCAAACUUCAGAUGGGCCUGGACAUGCGCUGGCUUGAGCAGGGGGACAUUGUGUGCGCUGCAGGAUUUUAAUCCAUGACGGCGUAGUGUGUUACUAAUGCUUUUCUUUGAGACUGUGGUCCCAGCUCUCUUCAGGUCAUUGACCAGGUCCUGCCGUGUAGUUCUGAGCUGAUCCCUCACCUUCCUCAUGAUCAUUGAUGCCCCACGAGGUGAGAUCUUGCCUAUUGUCCUGUAGCCCAUUCCAGCCUUGUGCAGGUCUACAAUUUUAUCCCUGAUGUUCUUACAUAGCUCUCUGGUCUUGGCCAUUGUGGAGAGGUUGGAGUGUGUUUUGAUUGAGUGUGUGGAGAGGUGUAUUUUAUACAGGUAACGAGUUCAAACAGGUGUAGUUAAUACAGGUAAUGAGUGGAGAACAGGAGGGCUUCUUAAAGAAAAACUAACAGGUCUGUGAGAACCGAAAUACUUACUGGUUGGUAGGUGAUCAAAUACUUAUGCCAUGCAAUAAAAUGCAAAUUAAUGACUUAAAAAUCAUACAAUGUGAUUUUCUGUUUUUUUUGUUUUAGAUUCCGUCUCUCACAGUUGAAGUGUACCUAUGAUAAAAAUGACAGACCUCUACAUGCUUUGUGUACCUGUGGAUGUAUUUCAAGGCCUACCUUCAAACUCAGUGGCUCUUUCAUGGGAAAAUCAAAAAGAAAUCAGCCAAGACCUCAGGAAAAAAAAUUGUAGACCUCCACAAGUCUGGUUCAUCCUUGGGAGCAAUUUCCAAAUGCCUGAAGGUACCAGGUUCAUCUGUACAAACAAUAGUACGCAAGUAUAAACACCAUGGGACCAAGCAGCCAUCAUACUGCUCAGGAAGGAGACGCGUUCUGUCUCCUAAAAGUGCAAAUCAAUCGCAGAACAAUAGCAAAGGACCUUGUGAAGAUGCUGGAGGAAACGGGUACAAAAGUAUCUAUAUCCAGAGUAAAAGGAGUCCUAUAUCAACAUAGCCUGAAAGGCCGCUCGGCAAGGAAGAAGCCACAAACCUGACUCAGUUAUACCAGCUCUGUCAAGAGGAAUAGGCCUCAAUUCACCCAACUUAUUGUGGGAAGCUUGUGGAAGGCUACCCAAAAUGUUUGACCCAAGAUAAACAAUUUAAAGGCAAUGCUACCAAAUACUAAUUAAGUGUAUGUAAACUUCUGACCCACUGGGAAUGUGAUGAAAGAAAUAAAAGCUGAAAUAAAUCAUUCUCUCUAGUAUUAUUCUGACAUUUCACAUUCUUAAAAUAAAGUGGUGAUCCUAACUGACCUAAGACAAUGAAUUUUGUACUAGGAUUAAAUGUCAGGAAUUGUGAAAAACAGAGUUUAAAUGUAUUUGGCUCAGGUGUAUGUAAACUUCAGACUUCAACUGUAUAUAUACUAAGUGUACAAAACAUUAGAAUCACCUGCUCUUUCCAUGACAUAGACUGACCAGGUGAAAGCUACGAUCCCUUGUUAAUAUAAUUUGUUAAAUCCACUUCAAUCAGUGUAUAUGACGGGGAGGAGACAGGUUAAAGAAGGAUUUUUAAGCCUUGAGACAAUUGAGACAUGGAUUGUGUAUGUGUGCCAUUCAGAGGGUGAAUGGGCAAGACAAUAGAUUUAAAUGCCUUUGAACGGGGUAUGGUAGUAGGUGCCAGGCGCACAGGUUUGAGUGUGUCAAGAACUGCAACACUGCUGGGGUUUUUAUGCUCAUGUAUCAAGAAUGGUCCACCACCCAAAGGACAUCCAGCCAACUUGACACAACUUUUGGGAAGCCUUGGGGUCAACAUGGACCAGUAUCCCUGUGGCACUCUUUCAACACCUUGUGGAGUCCAUGCCCUGACAGAUUGAGGCUGUUCCAGUUUAAGUUGUAUUUUUUGUUGUUGACACAUGUAUGUGUGGUUUUCAUGUGGUGUAUUUUAAAACUUUGUUUAAUAAAUACAAAAUGGGAGUAUU